UACGUAGGGACCAAGCGUUGUUCGGAUUUACUGGGCGUAAAGGGCGCGUAGGCGGCCUCCGCAAGUCAGUUGUGAAAUCUCCGAGCUUAACUCGGAAAGGUCAACUGAUUCUGCGGGGCUAGAGUGCGGAAGGGGCAACUGGAAUUCUUGGUGUAGCGGUGAAAUGCGUAGAUAUCAAGAGGAACACCUGCGGCGAAGGCGGGUUGCUGGGCCGACACUGACGCUGAGGCGCGAAAGCUAGGGGAGCGAACGGG
rnacentral:rRNA from 1 species